rnacentral:rRNA from 1 species
AUUGAACGCUGGCGGCAGGCUUAACACAUGCAAGUCGAGCGGAGAUGAGGUGCUUGCACCUUAUCUUAGCGGCGGACGGGUGAGUAAUGCUUAGGAAUCUGCCAUUUAGUGGGGGACAACAUCUCGAAAGGGAUGCUAAUACCGCAUACGUCCUACGGGAGAAAGCAGGGGAUCUUCGGACCUUGCGCUAAAUGAUGAGCCUAAGUCGGAUUAGCUAGUUGGUGGGGUAAAGGCCUACCAAGGCGACGAUCUGUAGCAGGUCUGAGAGGAUGAUCCGCAACACUGGGACUGAGACACGGCCCAGACUCCUACGGGAGGCAGCAGUGGGGAAUAUUGGACAAUGGGCGGAAGCCUGAUCCAGCCAUGCCGCGUGUGUGAAGAAGGCCUUUUGGUUGUAAAGCACUUUAAGCGAGGAGGAGGCUACUAGUAUUAAUACUACUGGAUAGUGGACGUUACUCGCAGAAUAAGCACCGGCUAACUCUGUGCCAGCCGCCGCGGUAAGAC